rnacentral:rRNA from 1 species
GACGAACGCUGGCGGCGUGCUUAACACAUGCAAGUCGAACGGAAAGGCCCUGCUUUUGUGGGGUGCUCGAGUGGCGAACGGGUGAGUAACACGUGAGUAACCUGCCCUUGACUUUGGGAUAACUUCAGGAAACUGGGGCUAAUACCGGAUAGGAGCUCCUGCUGCAUGGUGGGGGUUGGAAAGUUUCGGCGGUUGGGGAUGGGCUCGCGGCUUAUCAGCUUGUUGGUGGGGUAGUGGCUUACCAAGGCUUUGACGGGUAGCCGGCCUGAGAGGGUGACCGGCCACAUUGGGACUGAGAUACGGCCCAGACUCCUACGGGAGGCAGCAGUGGGGAAUAUUGCACAAUGGGCGGAAGCCUGACGCAGCAACGCCGCGUGCGGGAUGACGGCCUUCGGGUUGUAAACCGCUUUCGCCUGUGACGAAGCGUGAGUGACGGUAAUGGGUAAAGAAGCACCGGCUAACUACGUG